rnacentral:tmRNA from 1 species
GGGGACGCGCGGAUUCGACAGAGGAUGUCACCGCGAGAUUGCAGGUCGAGGUCCUUCUCCCUCGUUAAAAAGAAGGGAAAAAAGUAACUGGCAAUAAACAGCUAGCACUGGCCGCUUAAUUAGGCCACGUCUACCACUCUCGAUCCCCGAAGAGGCUGGAUAGGCGCCGAUAGACGGGGUGUAGUCAGUACUACGCCGAUAAUACUGGCUGAAAACUAUCGGCUAGUCUGGUUUAGUGUCCGCUAAUCGAUGCUAUUCCAAACAAAUUUAAUGAUUAGCUAAGCCUGUAGUACAUCUCGUUCGGGGUAUCUUUUGGACGGGGAGUUCGACCCUCCCCCGUCUCCACCA